rnacentral:lncRNA from 1 species
CACAGAAUACACCCUCAGGGAAAAAUGUACUUGGGGAGAAGGGGAGAGUCGCUGCAACUGCUGAGUCACCCGAGUGCCAAGGGAAAGCUAGAGCCUGAAUCUGGAAGAAAAAAGGCAGAUGAAGGCUAUUUGAAGGAACUGGGAGUAUUUUGCCUGGAGAAGAGAAGACAUGGAGAAGGAAAGAAUCCUUAUCUUUCUUCAAGGCUCCACUAAUGUGACCUUCUGCUGUACUCACAGAUAAUCCCAGUAAGGUCUGAACUUGAGGCUGAGAAGUGGUCCAUGAGGCUCUUGGACGUGGUUCCAGAAGGGAAGGCAAGCAGCAACCAAAUCAGGCAAAUAUUCAUUUAGCAAUUACUACAUGAAAAGCACUGUGUCAGAUGCUGGGUUUAUGAAGAUAAAACAAAAACAAAAAAUGAAAAACAAACCCCUAACCUCAAGAGACUUUGAUUUGCUGGGCUGAGUGACAUUUAGUCCCUGGACCUAACCUGGUAGAGACUGGCCUCCCCAGCUAUGAUUAGGGGGUGAAGGAUGUGGCUUAUACACUUAGAUUUGGAAAGGACCUUGCAGGCCAUCUAGUCUAACACUUUCAUUUUGCCAAUAAAGAAACUGAGGCCAGAGAGGUUAGAUGUCUU